AGGACGAACGCUGGCGGCGUGCUUAACACAUGCAAGUCGAACGGAAAGGCCCGCUUGCGGGUACUCGAGUGGCGAACGGGUGAGUAACACGUGGGCAACCUGCCCUCAGCUUCGGGAUAACACUUGGAAACAGGUGCUAAUACCGGAUAAUAACUUUUCAUCGCAUGGUGGAUGGUUCAAAGUUUUUCGGCUGAGGAUGGGCCCGCGGCCUAUCAGCUCGUUGGUGGGGUAAUGGCCUACCAAGGCGACGACGGGU
rnacentral:rRNA from 1 species